UACGUAGGUGGCAAGCGUUGUUCGGAAUUACUGGGCGUAAAGCGCGCGUAGGCGGCUCUUCAAGUCAGGCGUGAAAGCCCCGAGCUUAACUCGGGAACUGCGCUUGAUACUGUCGAGCUAGAGUGCGGAAGGGGCGAUUGGAAUUCCGUGUGUAGCGGUGAAAUGCGUAGAUAUACGGAGGAACACCAGGGGCGAAGGCGGAUCGCUGGGCCAACACUGACGCUGAUGCGCGAAAGCUAGGGGAGCAAACGGG
rnacentral:rRNA from 1 species